AUUUCCUGCCACUUCUUUGGAAAACAGGAAAUGGAAAGUGCAGGCCUGAUCAUUACCUUAUAUAUUUUUAAACAAAGAUAUUCUUUGAGUUUCUCGUUAGCGUAAGGCAAGCAAGCCGUGUGACGUCACAGAGACCCAGGGCAUCGACGAAGUCUCCGCCCUCCCCCAUUGCCUCCUGGCUGUAACCCCAGAUCCAACCCUAAAGGAAAAACCCAUCAGGCUCAGAUCAGGAAAAGUGCCCUGAGAGGGGGAUGGGGUGUGCCAACCCCUCAGGAAACCCAGGUCACCUUAGCAAACGUCUGACCUUCAGGUACUCUGAAGAUUUCCACACAGCUUGCCUCCCACAGAGGACGCAAUUUAGAAACCCAUCCUUUCUCACUUGAGAGGCUCCUUGACAUCGAAAGCCUGUGGGGUCUCCCCGGUGGCACCCUCAUUAAGGAAACGAAAUUUAAUUGUCAUUGGGACUGAGGACCUGUGUGGGAUGCUGCUCGCAGCGCUCACUCUGCAGUGACAAAGCAGUGGAGGUUGCCAGAAGCAUGCCGGCCUGGAAGGAAGAAGGUGGCGUCUGAGGAGCAUGCCAGUGCUGAAUUACCCCAUCUGUCGCGUUAAUAACCAAUUGGUCCAGGGGGCUGGGACAUACGGUACCUAUUAGGAUCUGUCUGCACACACAUAACUAUUCAUUUCAUCUGCACAAAUGACUGCUUACUCAUGCAAAUGGCAGGCCUAAAUGCCCACAUUGGGAAAUGCAGCUAAGAAGGCACUUCCUCAACAAAGGUUAUGUUCUAACCCCAGAGAUGUCGAAGCCUAGGAGCCGCCAUGCUGUGGAUGCACUAAACCUCCUACUUGGAAGAAAGAAAGAAAGAAAGAAAGAAAGAAAGAAAGAAAGAAGGAAAGGAAGGAAGGAGAGAAAGGCUGGUCAGCACGAAGGCUCAUUGGAUUAAAGUGUUUGCAGCUAUGCCUAAUGACCUGAGUUUGAGCCCCAGGACCCACAAGGUGAAUAAAAAGAACCAAACUGUCCUCUGACCUCUACACUUGCACUGUAGUGUCCAUGUAUGCUAGCAUUCUGUCUAAGCUCCACCCCCACAGUUACCUGGCAACAGCCAGGUGUGCCCGACACUAAAAGGGGCUGCUUGCCCCCUCCUCACUCUUGUUCCCUCCUGCUCUCUUGCUCUUCCCCUCUUCCCCUUUGUCCCUUCUCUCCCCGUUCUCC
rnacentral:lncRNA from 1 species